UGUGCCCAGAAGCCCCACCUAAGCUCAUCCUCAGGCUAGUAGCCCCUUCUGUGUUUUGCUGUGGGAGUGCUGGUCUCUGGUCCAGUGUUUGGCUAUGCCUCCUGGGUUCUUCUUAGAUCUACGCUGCUGGUAUGGGACUCCACAGUCCUUAGCCUGACUCUAUCUCCUGCUGCUCUGAGGGGAUUCCCUGGACAGAUCUUGGGCUUAGUUCUCUGCUUGCUGUGCUGGGAGUUGCUGAUGGCUGCUGUGCUUUGCUGAGAUUUUCUGAUCGAUGCUGCCUUCAGCCUGCUGUAUAUCUGGAAGUUGUGGACACUUCUAUGGCACAAAACCAGGCUGACUGCAUAGCUUCUGUGCAAUGAGUCAGCGGCUUGAAAGUACUACGAGAUUUUUGGCUGUGCUGAAAGUGGCUGUUGUGUAUGCUACAAACCUGAGACAUCUUAAACAUCAGUCUCACCACCCAUAUGAGUCACUUGUGUUGUUAAAUGAAUGCAAGAAGCUGAUGGAAAGCUAAGCAAUGUGCAGAAGACGUGAUGUAACUUCAUCAGGUUUUCCAUACUGCCCCAGAAGAAACCAAUAAGCUGCCUAUCUCUGGGCAGCAUGAGCUUCUUUGGGAAAGUGGUUCUCAAGAUAUCUGAAGCUGCUUCCUCAAAAGAGCUCCCUUUGCUAUUUUGUAAUAAACUGUCAAGGGUAUGUGAGAAGCUGCAGAGUACUUUACUAAUGAUAUGUUGUGCCCAUAAGUUGUAUUUUAUGAUGAAUUUUACAACAAUACUUGUAUGUAUCAUGUCUAGUAAUUAAAUCUGGAGCUCAAAGCUAACAUUUGCUCUUAGGGGAUUUAAUUCAGUUGAUUGUAGUGUUGGUGGGAAAACUAACUCUAUAAUUUAGAUGGAGAUCUGAUGUCCCCUCCAGCAUUCGAGUAUUUGAAAACAAGAUUUUAGGAGAAGUCUAUUUUUAAUAUUCACACUAAUUUAUCAUUUUAACUGACAUGCUUGAAGCCCAGUACAAUCAUAGGUUAAACAAAAGGAAAGUAGGAUAUUAAAAGAUCUGAUAGGCUGCAUCCAAGUUUUGUGUGUGUCUUUCUCUACAGGAUUUCAUGGAAUGUGGCCCACUGUGGAAAUAGUUCUUGAAUUCUCUUCAUUGGAAAUGCUGACAAAAAUUAAUAUGCUCCUAAAGUGAAACAGAGUUGGAAACAAAACAAAACUCAGCCUCUUAUAAUUGACCAAGCCAAAGGAAGUGCAGAAGCUAAACACAUUCUUACAGUAUUUAAGAGAAUAUUUAUGCUUUUCUAAUACCUCAAAGCAUGAAUAAUAGAGAUAAGGUAAUAGUGGUGAGCAGAUUUC